GAGAUGUGGAAGUGGUGUGAGCCAUUGAGCUAACUCGUACUAAUUACCCGUGAGGCUUAACCAUACAACGCCAAAGUGGUUU
rnacentral:rRNA from 1 species